UAACGACUCUCGGCAACGGAUAUCUAGGCUCUCGCAUCGAUGAAGAACGUAGCGAAAUGCGAUACUUGGUGUGAAUUGCAGAAUCCCGUGAACCAUCGAGUCUUUGAACGCAAGUUGCGCCCGAGGCCUUUAGGCCGAGGGAACGUCUGCCUGGGCGUCACGC
rnacentral:rRNA from 1 species